GGGGUGGGGAGCCUCCUGAGUCCUCCCACAACAUCUCAUCUUGCCUCCUCAUAGAGCCUGGGCAGGCUUCCCUCUGCCAAUCCGAAGCUGCAAGUCAGACCGAGAAGCUUGUUUCUCUCUAACCCCCAGUGUGCAAAGAUCCUGCGCCUGCUUCCCUCCGUGAACCUCAAGCUGCUGGUCAGACUGACAACCUCGCGUCUCUCUGAUUCCCAAUGCGCAAGGCUACUGGAAUCGUGUUUUGAGGUGCUGCCUCAGAUUGUGCAAUGCAGUGAAGUGGAAAUUUUAAAAUGUUCAUCCUAUUCGUUCUGUCAUCUGACGUCUAAGCAGGCUAAAGACUUCUCCAACAUCCCUGCAGCCCACCCCUCUAAUCGACACCACCCCAAACACAAGUACCAGUUCAAAGUACAGUCCUCAGUCUCACCCAGGACUUUCUGUGUUUUGUUGCUUAGAUUUUAUUGCUGA
rnacentral:lncRNA from 1 species